rnacentral:misc_RNA from 1 species
GGUCCACCGGAGGCGGGGCUUCGGAUCCGUAGUGAGAACCAAGCACGCAUCCCCAGGUAAGUUGGUCCCGUCAAGCGAGCCCUGGAACUCCCCAUGUCCUACACUCCCAUCCAGCGGCAGCGAGUGUAUAGCCGAGUACAUUUUCCCUUGACACAAAGAACCCUCCGAAGAAGAAAGGGCGAACGGGAAAUGCAGCAGAAGAUCCGAAUCGGGUUCCAGAGCCGGGGCUCACGGAGCCCCGAGUGACAACAGAGGAGGGGAGGGAGAUAUCAAUAAAUGGGCAAUUGGGUGCGAGAGAGAGAAAGAGAAAAAGAGAGAGAAC